UUGGAGGGCAAGUUUGGUGCCAGCAGCCGCGGUAAUUCCAGCUCCAAUAGCGUAUAUUAAAGUUGUUGCAGUUAAAAAGCUCGUAGUUGAACUUCAGACCUGACCGGGUGGUCCGCCUAACGGUGUGUACUGUCUGGCCGGGCCUUACCUCUUGGUGAGCCGGCAUGCCCUUAAUUGGGUGUGUCGGGGAACCAGGACCUUUACCUUGAGAAAAUUAGAGUGUUCAAAGCAGGCUUACGCCGGAAUACAUUAGCAUGGAAUAAUAAAAUAGGACGUGCGGUUCUUA
rnacentral:rRNA from 1 species